rnacentral:tRNA from 1 species
GGUACUAUAGCUCAGCUGGUUAGAGCGUGGGACUCAUAAGCCCAAGGUCGGUGGUUCGAUCCCACCUAGUACCACCA